rnacentral:rRNA from 1 species
GAUGAACGCUGGCGGCGUGCCUAAUACAUGCAAGUCGAGCGAACAGACGAGGAGCUUGCUCCUUUGACGUUAGCGGCGGACGGGUGAGUAACACGUGGGUAACCUACCUAUAAGACUGGGAUAACUUCGGGAAACCGGAGCUAAUACCGGAUAAUAUUUCGAACCGCAUGGUUCGAUAGUGAAAGAUGGCUUUGCUAUCACUUAUAGAUGGACCUGCGCCGUAUUAGCUAGUUGGUAAGGUAACGGCUUACCAAGGCAACGAUACGUAGCCGACCUGAGGGGGUGAACGGCCAAACUGGAACUGGGACACGGUCCAGACUCCUAAGGGAGGAAGCAGUAGGGAAUCUUCCGCAAUGGGCGAAAGCCUGACGGGGCAACGCCGCGUGAGUGAUGAAGGUCUUCGGAUCGUAAAACUCUGUUAUUAGGGAAGAACAAACGUGUAAGUAACUGUGCACGUCUUGACGGUACCUAAUCAGAAAGCCACGGCUAACUACGUGCCAGCAGCCGCCGUAA